UCGGGAAUAUUGCGCAAUGGAGGAAACUCUGACGCAGUGACGCCGCGUGCAGGAAGAAGGUUUUCGGAUUGUAAACUGCUUUAGACAGGGAAGAAACAAGACAGUACCUGUAGAAUAAGCUCCGGCUAACUACGUGCCAGCAGCCGCGGUAAUACGUAGGGGGCAAGCGUUAUCCGGAUUUACUGGGUGUAAAGGGAGCGUAGACGGCAUGGCAAGUCUGAAGUGAAAUGCGGGGGCUCAACCCCUGAACUGCUUUGGAAACUGUCAGGCUGGAGUGCAGGAGAGGUAAGUGGAAUUCCUAGUGUAGCGGUGAAAUGCGUAGAUAUUAGGAGGAACACCAGUGGCGAAGGCGGCUUACUGGACUGUAACUGACGUUGAGGCUCGAAAGCGUGGGGAGCAAACAGGAUUAGAUACCCUGGUAGU
rnacentral:rRNA from 1 species